CAACUCGAGUGCAUGAAGCUGGAAUCGCUAGUAAUCGCGGAUCAGAAUGCCGCGGUGAAUACGUUCCCGGGUCUUGUACACACCGCCCGUCACACCAUGGGAGUCGGGAAUGCCCGAAGCCGGUGGCCCGAUCGAAAGAAGGGAGCCGUCGAAGGCAGGCCGGAUGACUGGGGUGAAGUCGUAACAAGGUAAC
rnacentral:rRNA from 1 species